rnacentral:lncRNA from 1 species
CACGUUCUUGUACUUGAACUGAAAAGUGCCUCUUCUUUCAGGAUUCAUCUUGCUAACAAGCCUUGGAUUCCUGAAAUAAUGCGAAACAACUAAGAGUUUUGCUUUUAUGCAUAUGCAAUGAAUGAAUGGAUGCAAUGCUUUUUUUCUUUUUUUUUUGGAUAGGUUCAAAGGUCCGAGGUAUGGAUAAAUUUGAUUGCUUUCCAAAACGGGGUUCUCACCGGGUAUGAUCUAGGGCUUUGUUACAAAGGAUCCCCAGAGUCAUUGAUUCACAAGACUGUUUGACG